UACGAAGGUCCCGAGCGUUGUUCGGAAUCACUGGGCGUAAAGGGUGUGUAGGUGGCGCCGUAAGUCGGGUGUGAAAUUUCGGAGCUUAACUCCGAAACUGCAUUCGAUACUGCGGUGCUUGAGGACUGGAGAGGAGACUGGAAUUCAUGGUGUAGCAGUGAAAUGCGUAGAGAUCAUGAGGAAGACCAGUGGCGAAGGCGGGUCUCUGGACAGUUCCUGACACUGAGACACGAAGGCCAGGGGAGCAAACGGG
rnacentral:rRNA from 1 species